UGGGGAAUUUUGGACAAUGGGCGAAAGCCUGAUCCAGCAAUGCCGCGUGUGUGAAGAAGGCCUUCGGGUUGUAAAGCACUUUUGUCCGGAAAGAAAUCCUUGGCUCUAAUACAGUCGGGGGAUGACGGUACCGGAAGAAUAAGCACCGGCUAACUACGUGCCAGCAGCCGCGGUAAUACGUAGGGUGCAAGCGUUAAUCGGAAUUACUGGGCGUAAAGCGUGCGCGGGCGGUUUGCUAAGACCGAUGUGAAAUCCCCGGGCUCAACCUGGGAACUGCAUUGGUGACUGGCAGGCUAGAGUAUGGCAGAGGGGGGUAGAAUUCCACGUGUAGCAGUGAAAUGCGUAGAGAUGUGGAGGAAUACCGAUGGCGAAGGCAGCCCCCUGGGGCCAAUACUGACGCUCAUGCACGAAAGCGUGGGGAGCAAAACAGGAUUAGAUACCCUGGUAGUCCACGCCCUAAACGAUGUCAACUAGUUGUUGGGGGAUUCAUUUCCUUAGUAACGUAGCUAACGCGUGAAGUUGACCGCCUGGGGAGUACGGUCGCAAGAUUAAAACUUAAAGGAAUUGACGGGGUCAUAGCUGUUUCCU
rnacentral:rRNA from 1 species